UACAUGGGGUGCAAACGUUGCUCGGAAUUAUUGGGCGUAAAGCGCACGUAGGCGGUUUGCUAAGUCGGAUGUGAAAUCCCUCGGCUCAACUGAGGAAGUGCAUCCGAAACUGGCAAGCUUGAGUACGAAAGAGGGUCGCGGAAUUCCCGGUGUAGAGGUGAAAUUCGUAGAUAUCGGGAGGAACACCGGUGGCGAAGGCGGCGACCUGGGUCGAUACUGACGCUGAGGCACGAAAGCGUGGGGAGCAAACAGG
rnacentral:rRNA from 1 species